GGUUGUGGUUCAGUGGUAGAGCACUUGCCUAGCAUGUGUGAGGCCCUGGGUUCGAUUCUCAGCACCA
rnacentral:tRNA from 1 species